rnacentral:misc_RNA from 1 species
UCCGGUUCAUCACCGGCAGUCUCCUUAGAGUCCCCAACUAAAUGCUGGCAACUAAGGACAAGGGUUGCGCUCGUUACGGGACUUAACCCAACAUCUCACAACACGAGCUGACGACAGCCAUGCAGCACCUGUCUCUGCGUUCCUUUCGGCACUCCCAACUCUCAUCGGGAUUCGCAGGAUGUCAAGGGUAGGUAAGGUUCUUCGCGUUGCAUCGAAUUAAACCACAUGCUCCACCGCUUGUGCGGGCCCCCGUCAAUUCAUUUGAGUUUCAACCUUGCGGCCGUACUUCCCAGGCGGAGUACUUAUCGUGUUAACUUCAAUACUGAUAGGUUCCCCUACCAACAUUUAGUACUCAUCGUUUACAGCGUGGACUAC